rnacentral:rRNA from 1 species
CCUACGGGAGGCUGCAGUGGGGAAUAUUGCACAAUGGGGGAAACCCUGAUGCAGCAACGCCGCGUGAAGGAAGACGGUUUUCGGAUUGUAAACUUCUGUUCUUAGUGAAGUAUAAUGACGGUAGCUAAGGAGCAAGCCACGGCUAACUACGUGCCCGCAGCCUCGGUACUACGUAGGUGGCAAGCGUUGUCCGGAAUUACUGGGUGUAACGGGCGCGCAGGCGGGAAGCCAAGUCAGCUGUGAAAACUACGGGCUUAACUUGUAGACUGCAGUUGAAACUGGUUUUCUUGAGUGCAGUAGAGGUAGGCGGAAUUCCGAGUGUAGCGGUGAAAUGCGUAGAUAUUCGGAAGAACACCGGUGGCGAAGGCAGCCAACUGGGCUUUAACUGACGCUGAGGCUCGAAAGUGUGGGGAGCAAACAGGAUUAGAUACCCCUGUAGUC